rnacentral:rRNA from 1 species
AGCCUUAAUAAUAAUUUUAGGUGAUGCCUGCCCAAUGAUCAUAAACAAAAUUUUGUGAUAAAAAAUAUUACUUUUCAAUGGCCGCAGUAUUCUUGACUGUGUUAAGGUAGCACAAUCAAUCGCCGCUUAAUUGGCGGAUAGUAUGAAUGGUAAUACGAAAAUUUCACUGUCUCAAAUGUAGGAUUAAAAAAAUUGAAAUAAUAGUUAAGAUGCUAUUUAAAAUUGUAAGACGAUAAGACCCUAUAAAGCUUUACUACUACCUUCAAUGUUAAAAUAAUUUUGAGGGAAAGGUAGUUUACUUGGGGCAAGGGCUUUUUAGAAAAAAAGAAAGCAUGCAAUAUGAAUAAAACAUUUAUUGUACAAACUAUGGUUUUAACAAUCACAAAGUGGGCUAUAAUGACCCGUUUAUCCUUAAAAAACAGAUAAACAACUAUUACAUAAAAGCUACUUUAGGGAUAACAGGAUAAUUUUGUCAAAGAGUUCAUAUCACUGAUAAAGUUUGUCACCUCGAUGUUGAAUUAAGAUACCCUAGCGGAGCAAAGCUGCUAAAGGUAGGUCUGUUCGACCUUUAAAUAUCUU